rnacentral:rRNA from 1 species
UACGGGGGGAGCAAACGUUGUUCGGAAUCACUGGGCGUAAAGGGCGUGUAGGCGGCUGGAUAAGUGGGAUGUUAAAUCCCCCGGCUCAACCGGGGACCUGCAUCUCAUACUGUUCAGCUCGAGCACAUCAGAGGAGACUGGAAUUCCCGGUGUAGCGGUGAAAUGCGUAGAUAUCCGGAGGAACACCAGUGGCGAAGGCGACUUUCUGGCCUGUUCUUGACGCUGAGGCGCGAAAGCUAGGGGAGCAAACGGG